AUGGAAAUGGCCGCAUGCAGCUCCUCUCCCCCAGACAGCUCGGGGCUCAGCGGAAUGAGCACAGUCUGCAGGACAAGUGUGGAGGACUUCAGUCCCCUCUACUGUAUAUUGGCGUUAGGACUCAAGUUGUCCCUGAAAUAGAGGAAGGUGUUUUCUAGAGUAGUAGUAAUUAUCACAGUCAAAAAAGUAGGCAAGAGCACUUAGGAAAACUGUGCGGAGAUCAGCUGCUGAUAUGUAAAUACUGCUGAAGCUGCUUAUUCAAGAUUAGAAAACCUGAGACCCAGAUGGGGGAAACUGCUUUCCACGGUUAAUCAUGAACAACUGGCCAGGAUGGGACAGAACCCCAUACACAGCCUUCAUUCCAGGGCUCAGAACAAAAAGAAGGCAGUGGCCUGGGCUGCACCUGAGCUUGGCUUCACAUAGGAGUGAUUCUGGAAUGCAGGCUCCUGAUGACGACCUCAAGGCAGUGAACUCCAAAUUUGACCAAGACGCAAAUUUGGUCCUGAUAUUUUUAUAAUCUCCAAGGGAGGACAUGGCGCCUGUGGAAGUCAUCAUUUUGAUCA
rnacentral:lncRNA from 1 species